CAGCAGCCGCGGUAAGACAGAGGAUGCAAGCGUUAUCCGGAAUGAUUGGGCGUAAAGUGUCUGUAGGUGGCUUUUCAGGUCCGCUGUCAAAUCCCAGGGCUCAACCCUGGACAGGUGGUGGAAACUACCAAGCUGGAGUAUGGUAGGGGCAGAGGGAAUUUCCGGUGGAGCGGUGAAAUGCAUUGAGAUCGGAAAGAACACCAACGGCGAAAGCACUCUGCUGGGCCGACAUUGACACUGAGAGACGAAAGGUAGGGGAGCAAAUGGGAUUAGAUACCCCUGUAGUCCCUGUCUCUUAUAC
rnacentral:rRNA from 1 species